rnacentral:lncRNA from 1 species
CAAAUUUUAUUCAGGAUAUACUUAUAACCUUCAAAACAUAAUCCUAAUCUAAAACAAAUACCAUGACUUCGAAUAAGAUCCUAAACUAUUUUUCUAAUUUUUUAGAGAUUUAUUUUCAUAUGAUAAAUUCUAAAAAAAAUCUUUAAAACCAACAAAAACAAAUUAACAAACAAAAUAAUUACGAAAAUUAGAACCAAAAAAAAAACCCCAAACUGACCCAAACAAAUAAAUGAUUACUCGACUGAACCCUUCUUGAGUCUAGUUCUGUAUCAACCACAUUUAUAAUUUAGGCGUAAAGCUUUCAUAUGAAAAUGCUUUAGGCCCCGUUUGGAUACCUCUAAAAACGUAGCAUAGUUAAACUAUGCUACGCCGGUAGGAAAAUAAUCCUAUGAAGCGUUUGGAAGAAAAAAAAAUGACGUAAUUUUUGGACUAUAGUUAUACUAUACUCCAAAAAAUGGAGUAAACUUAUAAUCCACUUUAACCAAAGGAAAAAAAUUCCAUCAUUUUGGCUCCCAAAGAUGUAUCAAUUUCUAAAUUUUAAAUUUCAACAUAAAAUUUUAAAUUUCAAAUUUUAAAAUUUUAAAAUUUAUUUUUAAUUUUGAUUUCAAAUUUCAAAUUUCAAAUUUUAAAUUUCAAAAAGUUCAAAUUUCAAAUUUCAAAUUUCAAAUUUCAACUUUCAAAUUUCAAAUUUCAAAUUUCAAAAAGUUCAAAUUUCAAAUUUCAAAUUU